AUGAAGUUAAGUUAUUCAGACUGUGUGUUUUCAAAACAUAUAGAGGGUUUAUUAUCCAUUUCAUG
rnacentral:tRNA from 1 species